rnacentral:rRNA from 1 species
CUAAGUAAAGGGCGAUUGAUCGGCCGCUGCGACUAUUCGGCGUUUAUUGAGUACCAGUUUAGCAGCUUCGGGGUCAUUUUACUUUUUCGUUUCCGGGGGAAGUAUGGUUGCAAAGCUGAAACUUAAAGGAAUUGACGGAAGGGCACCACCAGGAGUGGAGCCUGCGGCUUAAUUUGACUCAACACGGGAAAACUCACCCGGCCCGGACACCGUAAGGAUUGACAGACUGAGAGCUCUUUCUUAAUUCGGUGGGUGGUGGUGCAUGGCCGUUCUUAGUUGGUGGAGCGAUUUGUCUGGUUAAUUCCGAUAACGAACGAGACUCUGGCCUACUUUUUAGACGACGUAUUAAAAAGUACGUCGUACUUCUUAGAGGGACAAGCGGCGUCUAGCCGCAUGAAAUAGAGCAAUAACAGGUCUGUGAUGCCCUUAGAUGUCCGGGGCUGCACGCGCGCUACACUGAAAGAAUCAGCGAGCGAUUCGCCUGGUUCGGAAGAACUGGGUAACCCAAGUAAAUUCUUUCGUGCUUGGGAUAGGGAAUUGCAAUUAUUUUCCCUUAAACGAGGAAUUCCCAGUAAAUGCGGGUCAUAAGCUCGCGUUGAUUACGUCCCUGCCCUUUUGUACACACCGCCCGUCGCUACUACCGAUUGGAUGACUUAUAGAGGUCUUAGACCGAGGUAAUGGUGCCUUCGCGGGUGCUCUUGCUUUGGAAUUUGAUCG